GCGGCGCAUUCCAAUCAGAGAGUCAUUGUUUCCAUUGGCACAAUGGGAGACCCCGCCCCUCUCGGAGGACUCCAUUGUAUGCGGGAGGUAGGAGGGCCUCGCGGGUUCCAAGCUAACCAGCAGAAAUAAUCCAAAAGACCCGCUAUACUGAUCUGCCUCCAGACUUGGCGUCGGUGAUGAGCCGCAACGCAAGUAGUCGUUCCUAAUGCACUUCUGGAAAGACAGCAGGAUGGUUCAGCUGGUAAAGGUGCUUGAUGUCCAAGCUUGAGUACCCGAGUUUGAUCCCUGGAACUCGUGUUAAGAGUGGAAGACCGACCCCACAAAGUUGUCCUCUGACCUCUACUUGCCACUCCACUCCAGAGAAACCCAUCCACAUUUUCAAAUAAAAUGCUAGUGGUAUUUCCUC